rnacentral:rRNA from 1 species
AGAGUUUGAUCCUGGCUCAGAACAAACGCUGGCGGCGUGUCUUAAGCAUGCAAGUCGGGCGGCAAGGGCAGCGAUGCCCCUAGAGCGGCGGACUGGUGAGUAACGCGUGGGUGAUCUACCAUUAGGGCAUGGGGAUAGCCAUUAGAAAUAGUGGGUAAUACCGAAUACGCUUGCACAGGUGAAGCUGUGUAAGGAAAGGUGCUACGGCAUCGGCCUAAAGAUGAGCCUGCGUCCCAUUAGCUAGUUGGUGAGGUAAGAGCCCACCAAGGCGAUGAUGGGUAGCCGGCCUGAGAGGGUGUACGGCCACACUGGGACUGAGAUACGGCCCAGACUCCUACGGGAGGCAGCAGCUAAGAAUAUUCCGCAAUGGACGAAAGUCUGACGGAGCGACGCCGCGUGGAUGAAGAAGGCCGAAAGGUUGUAAAAUCCUUUUGCUGGGGAAGAAUAAGUCUGGGAGGGAAUGCCCGGAUGAUGACAUGAACCGGCGAAUAAGCCCCGGCCAACUACGUGCCAGCAGCCGCGGUAACACGUAGGGGGCGAGCGUUGUUCGGAAUUACUGGGCGUAAAGGGCAUGUAGGCGGUUUUGUAAGCUUGGCGUGAAAGUCCACGGCUCAACUGUGGGAUAGCGUUGAGAACUGCGAAGCUUGAGUUAUGGAGAGGGAGCUAGAAUUCCUGGUGUAGGGGUGGAAUCUGUAGAGAUCAGGAAGAAUACCAAUGGCGAAGGCAAGCUCCUGGCCGAUGACUGACGCUGAGGUGCGAAAGUGUGGGGAUCAAACAGGAUUAGAUACCCUGGUAGUCCACACUGUAAACGAUGUGCACUAGGUGCU